GAAAUCAGCCAAAUCACGCAGCCACAGAGGAGGCCAGGGAAGCUCUAGAGGCGUUUUUUGGCCAAGGGCUGCUGGCCAACGCAGUCAUCUUCCUGUGCGGGAACCUGACAGGCGCCUUCCACAAGCACCAAAUGCAGGAUGCGUCCCGGGACCUCUUCACCUACACUGUGAAGUGCAUCCAGAUCCGCCGGAAGCUGCGCAUCGAGAAGCGCCAGCAGGAGAACCUGCUGCUGUCAGUGCUUCCGGCCCACAUCUCCAUGGGCAUGAAGCUGGCCAUCAUCGAACGGCUCAAGGAGCAUGGUGACCGUCGCUGCAUGCCCGACAACAACUUCCACAGCCUCUACGUCAAGAGGCACCAGAACGUCAGCAUCCUCUAUGCGGACAUCGUGGGCUUCACGCAGCUGGCCAGCGACUGUUCCCCCAAGGAGUUGGUGGUGGUGCUGAAUGAGCUCUUUGGCAAGUUCGACCAGAUCGCCAAGGCCAACGAGUGCAUGCGAAUCAAGAUCCUCGGCGACUGCUACUACUGUGUAUCGGGCCUGCCCGUGUCGCUGCCUACC
rnacentral:sRNA from 1 species